rnacentral:lncRNA from 1 species
GAUCCAAUUCCUACUCACCCUUCUGAUGGUCCUGAGCCAUCCCUCGAGGUCAAAGAGGUGCUGAGAGGAUAGGUCCUUGUCGUGCCGCGAUGUGAGAUACUCCAUACAAUCUGCCUAUAUAGUUUAAAAAUUUAAAUCCAUAAAAAUUAAUAUAUAUAAAAACUUAAUAAAUAAUAUUUUAAGUUGUUACUAUGAUCUGUCG